rnacentral:snRNA from 12 species
ACACUGACAGUAGAAGUAUCAGCUUGGUCAUUUUUCCUUCAUUCUCUCUUGUUUGUAUUAUUUAUCUUCACCUGGAAGUUUCUUCCAUUGCACUCUAGAUGUGCUAUACUCUGUGAUUUUCCCACAUGUGGGAAUCUUGGCUGCAUUAUUUGUGGUACUGGGAAACUGUGUUUGUGCUUUCCUC